rnacentral:rRNA from 1 species
AGAGUUUGAUCCUGGCUCAGGAUGAACGCUAGCUACAGGCUUAACACAUGCAAGUCGAGGGGAAACGACAUCGAAAGCUUGCUUUUGAUGGGCGUCGACCGGCGCACGGGUGAGAACGUUUUUUCGUAUCCAACCUGCCCAUCACUUGGGGAUAACCUUGCGAAAGUAAGACUAAUACCCAAUGAUAUCUCUAGAAGGCAUCUGAAAGAGAUUAAAGAUUUAUCGGUGAUGGAUGGGGAUGCGUCUGAUUAGCUUGUUGGCGGGGUAACGGCCACCAAAGCAACGAUCAGUAGGGGUUCUGAGAGGAAGGUCCCCCCACAUUGGAACUGAGACACGGUCCAAACUCCUACGGGAGGCA